rnacentral:tRNA from 2 species
UGGGAUAUAGCCAAGUCGGUAAGGCAACGGACUUUGACUCCGUCAUUCCGCAGGUUCGAGUCCUGCUAUCCCAGCCA